GAAGGAGCGGGGCCCUCGCCGCAGAGCGCCCGAGGUCGGCGGCGGGUGUGGGCCUCCCUGUUGGGGCUUCGAAGGUGCAAGGGAGCGGUGUCGGGUACGGUGCGGAAAGGCCCGGGCCGAGUCGGAGUUGGAGCUCGGGGGCCGCCUCGGUGUGCGGACAGCAGGUCCGAGCGAGAAGGCUGCCCCCCGGGCCUCCCGGGGCCCGCGGAGCCCCCAGGUUUUCCCCGGUGGCGACUUGCCUGGGAGCUGCAGCACCCUCUGGGCCGGGCUGCGCGCGCCUCGUCGCCCGGCGUUGUAGGCCGCAGAUUCUGUGCUAACGGGUUUCUCCCUCUGCGUGUCUCUUACUGGGAAGAAAUACUUAGACUGAUGGGUUAACUUGUUUUCUUAGCAGUUCCCAUAUGGCGUUUUUAUCAGCAUGGUCCGCCCAGCGUUGGGGAUUUUGUCCGUAAGCUUAUAAUGAUGGUUGGAUAGGAACUGUUCAAAACGCAGCUGUUGGCCUUCUCUCCUUGUUGUCACCUUUCAAAGUGGGCAAAAGAGCUGCGUUUGUGUAGUGUUAGGGGAACCACAGACACUGAGGCCGGAAAGGCUCCUCUCUCUGGAAGAUUUUCACCGUUGUGUAGGCCGUGAGCCCGAGGUGACAGUACUCUGAGAAACUUGGAAACGUGCACUUUGAAGAAAUGUUUUUAGUGUUAAUGCUCCCAGAUAGAGUGUUCAGUGUAAGAAUUUACCUAUCAGCGAGAGGGGUUUUCUGAAACAGUGCAUUUGCAGGAGAUACUAAAUGUUUUGCGUUGGCUUAGUUCUCCGAUUCCUGUCCUGUAAUACUCUAGCUGUGGAAGUGAAGCACUGUUCUUUGAUUUUACUUAGGUGUGGGAACUGACCGGUGAGCAAUCUGCCCUGUGUUUCGAGCACAGUAAGUGAAAACGGCUGUGAUGUAACCUUCUGGAUGCCAGCCUGUGUCGGGAACCAGCUGCAUCAGUGUACCCCAUUUGUAACGGUUCAGUAGGCAGUUAAUAGUGAAAGUAGUAGCAGGGGUUCAUAACCUUGAUGGGGUUGGCCAGCUUUUCUUCCCCUGAAACAUGCACACACACACAGAAUAUGCACAGUAUCGGCACCUUAAGGCCUCUGUCAGCUGAGCUCAGCAUUGCUCUGGAUUUUUUUUUUUUCUCUAUUGUGUUUGGAAGUCUUUAAUGAAAACUCUAAAUGGCUUUGUAAGAAAUUUUAUAGUUAAAAAAAAUAUAUAGGUUGUAUGUAUCAUACUAUGUGUAUGUAUGUGUCGGAAAUCCCAUUAGUAAAAACCAUGCACAUUUGCCUUAGCCUUUAAAAUGAGCAUUUUUGACUGGGAGGGUACCUCAGUUGCUAGGCUCCCAGAGGUUUCUGAAGCAGCAAGCUUUGGGUAAAGCCUGGCCCUGGCGUGGGUACUUGUAAACAUCACAGGUAAUUCUGAUAGGCACUGAUUUCACUCCAAAACUACAGAUCUACCUGACAAAACAACAAAACUUUGGUGGUUUCACCUUUUGAAAUACAGUUUUAGAAUUUUUUUUUUCCUUUUUAAAAAAGAGAGCUCUUUGGUCCUGUCAGGAAAUUAAUAGGGCUGGGGAUAAAAGGAGCUCCUGUGAGUGAUGGUACAUCUGGCUGUCCUCAGCCCUUUCAGCCCCUGGGCACACUAGGAGCCCUGUAGGGUGUGCUUUGUCUCCAUCUCAGCCUUUAGUGUAGUGCCUGGGGCAGUCGGUGUGAAGUGAAUGAUACCCAUACCAUUGUCGCUGUGUUGGCAGAUGAGCUCAAUGGCCUGUAACCUGGGACUGCUUGCAGAGAGUGCUGGGUGAGACCGUGGUAUUCCCUCCUCUGCCCCAGUGCUUCCCUGACUUAUCUGUGGUCAGUCUGACUUGUCUCUGAAUUUGAGAGCUGGAACUGUAUAGUACAAUUUUAUCUGGUACCUAGCAUGGAGUACAUAUUUGGCUAUCCAAAGUUAUUUUAAAUCUGCCUUUAAAUAACAAAUGUUGACUCUGAAAAUCAAAUUUUGAUUGAAAAUAUUUGUAGAUGUGCUGAAUUUCUUAAAUUACUAUUAGAAGGUUUUUUCCUGGUAAAGGUUCUGCUUUUGUGAGCAUAAAGUUUUUGUGAUGUAAAUUAAUAACUGAUAACUUGUAAUCUUAUAGAUGGAAGGCUUAAUACUUAACCUUACAUAUUUGUAAGUUUAUAUUAAUUUUUGGUAAGUUUAUGCUUUAUAACAUAGUAAUUUCAUCAGACUUCUGUUAUCAUUUGUGUAUUACGUACCAUUGUAAAAUAAAUUUUUAACUCUCAUACAGUUGCUAUUGGUCUUUUUCUUUUAAGAAUGUGAAAUCUGAAUGGACAUAACCUUUGAACACCAGAUUGCACAUUCCUUACAUAUUACCCUGUUUAUAAUAAUGUUGUGAAGUGGGUGGUAUUACCCUGUUUGUACAGCUGAAGAGGGCGAGGCCUAGACAGGAGAAUCGGCCUAAAGCCUGUGGCCGGCAAGCUGGGAAGCACUGUUAACAGUGACUUGUGUUGAGUGCUCUGUCCUUGAGGACGCAGAACAUCUGGGUCUGCUCCCCUGCUUGCUCUGUCACAGUCAACCCCUGUUGGUCUCUCAGGCCUGUUGGGGAGAUCUUACCUUUGUGUAAAUAGCUCUUGUUCUGCCCCAGAAAAAGACCAUUGUCCCUAUUGCGGAUUGGUGGUACAGGGACACUGGAAGCGUUGUCUUUCCUAGCUCUCUCCCAAAAGAGUCAUUCCCCUGUUGUCUCUGACCAGGGUUUCUUGUCCUUUGAAAAGGAGCUGUUUCUAAAUUUUAUGUCACUCAGGUAUCUUAGAGCAGUUCUUGAUUUUUAUGGGGAGGUGUAAAACCAGUUUGAGUGUGAUGGAAAAUUGUUCUCUUAAAAAUGUACCUACCCUUGUUUCCCUAGUUCAAGAGUAUGGGUUAUUUAAAGCAAUGUUUUUUACUCUUUACAUGUUGCUUUCCUAGGGACUCUGAAUCUUGAGGCUGAGGAAGUAGAGCAGUUUUCCACUGGGGAGCCUGCGGAGUUGUAGCUGCACGGUUUUCAAUGACGUGUACCUCUGCUCUUGGCUACCUUUGUGUCCAAGUUUCCCAAGUUCGGGUACUUGUUAUUCCCAGAGAAUGUUGUCAUCCUAUUUCCUGCAUAGAAGGACAGUCACUUGUGUAUAGGGUGGGACACAGGGAUCUGAGGUCUCAGGACCCUUGUAGAUACUGAGUUGGUUGUCCUCUGUAGUCCUGCCUUGGCUUUUCAGGACAUCUGUGACUCCGGCUUCCCAGCUCCUUCCAAGGACAGGGGUCUUGGGGUUGUCUCACUGCUGUCCCCUCCAAAGGAACUGUGGUGAGGAUGUUGUUCUAUGCCAGGUUAGCCCAUGUCUGUACAGUUACAUCUUCCCAAAUCUAGACUGACAUUUUCCAUACCCUGUGCUGCUGCUUGGACUUUCUCUUUGUCCUUCAAGCUGUGUGUGUGUAUUUAGUGGGUUUUGGGAAGGAGCCAAGAAAUGUUUUCUGGUUAUCAGUCACUGCAUAAUCACAUCAAAACUUAGUAGUCUUAAAACCUCAAAUGUUGGUAUUAAAGUCUUGUAGUUCUAGGGGAGUCAGGUGGUUCUCUGUGGGGUCCCUCGUUGUUGCAGCCUGGAGUCUGAGCCAUCCGAAAUGAAAGGCUUCCUAACUGAGCUCAGGUGGUGCUGCUUGAUAUCACAACACCUCCAGCACCACCUCGGCCUGCCUCCCUCCUUCCCUCUGUUCUCUGAGAACUAGUGGCAAAAGAAAAAGUGCCGUUUUUGAGUUAGAGAGUCACUUCGUCUGCUGCUUUGAGGCCAUCACUGAGUUCUGCCUGCAUUAAGGGUGGGGAACAUGUACUCCCCUGCAGGAGGGCAGCUGUGACGUACUUCAGAAAGUUUAUGGAAAAUGGAACUACAUGAUUUUUAGAGUAGAAAUUUUUUGAAACCCAUACGUAGUUUAUUCAUAAUACACAUUUUAAUGGGCCUUUUGAAGACCCUUUAACUUGUGGGCAUCUUUGACAGAAUCUACCACACUUAGGUUUAUUUCUCUUUAAAUGGAAGGCCAGAGGGGCUUUACUAAAGCUUUGUUCUUGUCACUGACCUAUUUUACAGCAUUGGAAGGCUCCCAGUCUAGUAACCAGCAGUACCAGUGCUCCUGAAUGAUAUCACUCCAGGUGUGAGCAUGCCACGUAGCAUGCGCGCCACCUCCAGGGACCUCUCCUGCCCUUUUUCUCUGUGAGGGAACCCACUCUUGUGGAUGUUAAGCUUCAACUCAGCAUCAUCUCAAGAACGCACAAUCUGCUUCAGGAACAAUCCAUUCAGUUACCCACCUUCCCAGAGCACUUUCCCUGUACUAAGCUUAGAGUCACUGGGUGUAUACCUGACUUCUCGGAUUGAGCUGGCUGCAGUAACUAGCACGUUUAGCUUCAUACCACACCUGGCCUAAGUCCCUCAGAAUUCUUCAGGUGUAGGUGCACCACAGUCAGCCACUUAACCUUCAUCUUCGGAGAGUUGAAUGAAAAUUUCUAGCCCCCCAAAAAACACCCCAAUCAUAUUAACCUUGCUUUUUCAGCUAACUAAUUUUAGAGAUUAAUAUCUGUGUGUUUCUUGAGGCUUCAGCUUUCAACAUUGUUUGAUUUGUGCAUAGAUGUUUUAGUUAAGGUUCAGACCAUCAGCACUCAUACAAGGAGGAGGUAAUUAUCAGUUAGCUGUGUAUCAGCUUUGACUAGUACAAUCUGUAGAUAGCUAAGGAGGGUGGUGGCAGCUGGGUGGCCAGCACUCUGGCGGCCCCCCAUGUUCUAGAGUCCCUGUUACUCUUUGGACAAAAGCACCAACCCCAAGUUCAUUUGCUGCAAGGUCUGGCUGGAGCAUCACCUUGCAGGGUGGCUGGGUGUGGAAGGAAGUUCAUAGUCCUGACCUAAUUCCUGAAUGGGGCACUUUAAUUUAUGUAGAUAAGCACCUUCCAGUGUUUCUUGUGCCAUGUAAAACUUAAAAUUUUGAAAUAUGCUGUUUAGCAAAUGUUUUACCUCUUGUAGUUUUUCUGCAAGAGAACUUAGUUUGCUUUCUUUGUGAGGAGUGAGCGUGUCUCAUCCUCGUGAUUGUGAAAAUGGGCUCUUUGUUGAGUAGGUCAAAGGUUGCAGUUUAAUUCAUGAAAUUAUAGUGAAGACUAUUAUUUUUCAUCUUGUCUCACAAAGUAAGAUUCAGUGUCAUACUGAAUAGUAUUACAGCCAUAUUUUAAAGAAGCUUAUUUUGUACCUAUAACAACUUCAUAAUUAUGCAUGUCAGAAUCAGCCAGUCUUGUGCUUUAGGGCAUGGCCAGUUACCACAGCCAUCAGGAAGGAAUUUCUCUUGUAUUUCAAUGCAUAUUGCUCCUGACAGGAUGGCUCCAUGACCCAAGCAUGAAUUCCAGGGUAUACUGUAAGGUUGGAUAAUUGCAGGCCAAUGGAUUUGAAGGACCACACACUUACGGGCGAUGUCAUCUCUUCCUCACAUCUGUUUAAGAGAAAUUCUAAGAACACAGGGCUUGUUGCCUAUGCUUUACCACAAUAUCUUUGGAUAUAGCUGUUGAUGAACGCAAUAGAUAACAGCCAACUUUUCAUAUCCUUUUACUCCAGGUCCACCUUCAGAGACAACGUGAGUUGUACUUUUUUGAAGCCUUAGCCUAAAGGUGAGAUCCUAGCAUUGACAUUUGAAGUCAUUUGGGCAGCUCCUGUGUUAAGUGGAGAAUCUUUAUAUAAGUAAGAGUAGUGGUCACUAUUGAAAAUGUAAUUUAAGAGCAGCUGGUACAAAGCAUAUUCUUUUAAGUCCCUAUAAUAUUUCUAACUCUGAGCUCCUAGAAGCUUUUCAUAAUUAUAUCAAUGAUUUGGUUUUCCUUUAUGGAUGCUACAGUAUCCAUUUUGUGAUUAAAAUAAUUUGUGUAGGUGUACCAUGAACUUGAUGCCUGUUCCUGAAAGCUUGUUAAAUUUUUGAAGCCAUUCAAAAUAUAAGACUGGAAUUAUGUCUUUACAUUUGCAUUUGUUUUAGUCUCAUUUUGGCUCAUGUGUCUAACAACUUUGUACUUGGUACUCUUAAACCAGUGGUUUAUUUUUUACCAUAAUCUCAUCUGUACGUAGAAAUUUUACACCAGCCAUCAGUGUAUGCACAAAAUGGUCCUUAAGCAGAAUGGAUAUACUCUGUGUUCUGUUCUCUUGAGAUAACUUGGGGGUUGAGACCCAUUAUGUUGCACAGUUAGUUCCUGGAGAUUUAGAAACAUGGCUGCAAGCUAAAACAAAACAAAAACUUGUCUUACAAGCCUUUUUUGCUGUUGUGGGCGUGCUGUCUCUAUACUGGUUGGUCUGUUCAAACAGCAUCCUUGAAAGACAAAGGGUGAUGAAAGCAGAGAAGGCAGUGUGUGUCAAUCGUCUGCACGCACAGUGCCCUCCAUGGCACUGCAGCUUCAGGUGCUGUCUCUACAGGAAGUCCAUGGAGGGAAUGUGUUCCACAGGAUCUCUCAUGGUCAGCAGGGUAUCAUGAGGAUGGGCUCAAGGCUGAGGAGCUUCUCCAGAGGAUGUUGUGUGUGGAAGGAGAUGUCUGGCUGGGUGCUGCCUGGUGGUGGUGCCUGAGCAGCAGCAGUGACACUGGUUCUCCCCUCAUGGACUGUAAUGCUUGGCAUGGUGUCAGAUUUUAGAAGUGUCCUGGGUCUUGUCUGAUGGCAUCAGUGCAAGCUCUCAUUCUGCUCGAGUCACUUCUUCUCAGCCAAGUGUGGGGGUAUACCUUGUAAAUUGGUGUUUCUGCUGCAGUCUUGAUUUGGUGAUGAGCAAAGAUUGCCAGGGACUGGACUGAGUUUGAUUCACAGCACCCUGAGCUCCCCCUUCCCUGUCUUCCCUGCGCCCCAUCCCCAUCCCUACUGUUGGGGAAUCUUGUUGGACACUUACAGGAACUGUAGAAGCUGGGGCCCUACUGCCGGUUUUGCCAGUGUGUGAUCCUGUGUUUGUAAUCUUGUUUCCUUAUUUGAAAAAUGGGGAUAAUAAUGGAAUUUACCUAAGCAGAUCCCCAUGGAGAACUAAGAUUAAGGCUCCUAGCACUUCUUAAUCCCACAGAGGAUCUCCUAAGGGCCUGAGAGAAGUCACUAAUGUUUGGGUAUUGAUGUAACAAUUGCAUUUGAUUAAGUGGAUGCCCAAAUAAUUGCCCUGUGAGUACUCCAUCAGAUAAUUCCCAAAUCCAUGGCAAGGCACAGUCCUUGUUCAUUCUGUGCCAACCCAAACCAUGAGGUUUCCAAAAGAUGUGGUUCACAGGAUGGACGAUGAGGCUGAAUCCAUAGCAGCCAUCCGUCUUUCAGAGAAGUCUGUGCCAGUCUUGAUGAUCCCCUUUCUAGAGACAAACUAAGAAGUGGACAGGUGUAAGGAAGUGUGGGUCUUGGAGAGGUGUUGGAGGGCUGGCUCCAGGAAGCCAGCUCUGCCUCCAUGGUGGCUGUGACCAGGGAGUCCUGUAGCCCUAACCAUAAGCAGCAGUUAGAGAUUGAUUCUAGAACUGGUUCCCAAGAAUUCAAACUGACAGCAUGGACAGCACGUCAGAAAAACCUGAAGUACUUGGUUGGGGAUAGUACGCUGUCUAAUCCUGACCUACCCUGCCUUUGGACUUGGUCUUGAGCUAAUUUCCUAAUGUAGUGUGUACAUGGCUGUUCUCCCCACUGAAUAUGAAUGUGCACAAGCUUGAAGCCUCCAUGAUCAGAGAAGCCACAAAACACAGGCUGAAUGAAUUAAAGAACAUUGCAGCACAUUAUCAACUGUGUCCUGUGACAAACUUGGUAUCAGAGCUGCUACUUGUGCUGCUGGCAUCAUCCUGGCCAUACCACUUCUGAUCCAGCUCCCUACCAAUGUGCCUGGGAAAGGCAGCGGAAAAUGGCCCAAUUGGUGGAGCCUCUGCACCCAUGUGAGAGACCCAAAAGAAGCUCUUGGCUUCAGACUAGCCCAGCUCCAGUCAUUGAGGCCAUCUGGGGAGUGGACCAGUGGAAGGAAGACACACACCCGUGUGUAACUCUGCCUUUCAAAUAAAUCUUAAAAAACAAAAUUAAAAAACAAAAAAACCUUGGUUCCAGGCUACCACUUGCAGCCACGGUAGCCUUGUUCCCCAUUUAGGGCUUCUCUGAGUGACCUUUGUAUUGUCAAUACAAAAAAAGUCAGCACUAGAAGAAAGGGCUCUGACCACAGCAGCCUUGGGUGCUGAAGCAGGGCUGCCAGGGCCUUACCACUGUGUACACGCAAAGAUGCAAGUGCCCAUCAGCUCCUCCUGCCCUGUUAUUAGCCUAGGACCCACCUGCAUACCGGGAAGAAUGAGUCCAUCAGUUGUACCAGCCUGACCAGAAAAACUUUGAGCAUAUUUCCAAUCUGUAAAAUAAUUAGGACUAGCAACUCACAUCCAUUAGCACUAGUGUGUGUGCACUGAUAACAGAUUUUAUGGAUCCUCUUCAGUUUGCAUAGUUGAGAGCAGGGCUCAUGGCUUGGUGGGUUUUAGACCACACACAUAUGCUCAGCCUGUGCUUUUUUUGCUUCAGGCCUUGGGGAGCAGCUAGGAUAAUCUCCAUGGGACCAAAGACAUCAGGCCUCCUGACUCCCAGUCACUUAAAAUGGAUGACAUGCCCAGUGCCUGAGUUAGCUCAUCUCUGUACUGCUGAGGCUUCACACAGUAUCACUGUGGUGUCACAACGGAUCCCUUCACAAGAGUCUUGGCCCAGGGGAAGAAGUGCCCUUUGGCCAGAUGGCUUCAUUUUCUGUGACUAGUGGCAGGCAGGUGCCUUGGAUGGGAGAGCAUGAAAUGGGCUGGACAAGGAGAAGGGCUCGGAAGGAGCAAGGAGCAUGGGAGCGACUGGUAACACAGGGUCCAGAGAAAACAAGGUCUUCACCCUGUCACACAUGGGCUAUGGAGGAUAUAUGGUGGCCAAAACCCACCUGGUAUGUUUUAUCUAUUACCCGAGUGGUGUUUUCAUAAAUAAAGUCUGUUUCACUUCAGAGCAGCAAAAAUAUGGUGUUAGCAAGGGAAAGACCCUCAGAUGACUUUAGCACACAAUUUUAUCUGGAAUUCAGAAGCUGAUGAGGUCAACAGCGAGAAGCUUGAGGACAUUCGUGCCGCCUGGUUCAAUCCUCCUUGAUGCCUGGGGAUGUGUUGCAGGACCCCCAGGGGAUGCCCGAGACCAGUGAUAAUACCAAGGCCUCAACACCUGUGUACUUCAGGAAUUUCACAGGAAGUGGAAUUAAAGAGUGCAUUUUGGUGCAAAAAUUUUUGAAAUUAUGUAUCAGCAUUUAUAGAAAAAUGUAUAUUAUGAAAAAAAACCAUGGAUUUCAACAUGUUUCUGCACCAAAAUAAAUGUUAUCUUAAUUCUAUUUUCCCAUGAGUGUUUUGAAGUACUUUGAUAUAGUUUUUCCUAUACAGGCAUACUUGAUAAAUAUGGUACAUUAGAUUUAAUAGUCAUAACAACAAUAUUCUACAGUAAAAGUUAUCUGAAACUGAAUUAUUUUCCAACUGUGGCUGACCACAGGUAAAUGAAACCACAGAAAGUGACACCACAGAUAAGGCGCAUGGCUGCACUGAAGUGUGCUUUUAAAGGCUCAGCAUUUAGCAGCUACACCCCGUUCUUUCAUCCCCUCAGCAUGAGUGAGUGCCCUGUGACUGGAGCCAUCUUGUGUGUGUCCAGACUGAGAUAAAUAAGCUCCCGGUGAUACUUUGUUUUUCUCUUCUCGUAACAAAUAAAAAGGAUUGGAUAAUUCAGCCCAAGGAUUCCUGUGUGUCUGAAACAAGAGGAGGUUUCCAUGCCACAGUGUGAGGCCAUAGCUUGAGUGGGCUGAACACAGGAAGGCACACCAUAAAUUAAGUGGACCCUGGCUGCAGAGGGUCAGUGGUGACCUAUAGGGCUGGAUCUGCCUGUCAUGGCACUCCCAGUGCUGGUGAUGGCUGUCGGAGGGAGGAAGCCCCCUUGAAUAAGUUAAGUCAGGAUACAGCUCGCAGCAUCAGCUGGAGGUGAAAACGCUCCCUUUCCCAUCCCUGGUCCCUGCAGCCACCACCAGGGCUGUGGAAGCUUUAUGUACACCCUUGUGAGAGGACUGGGUGCAAAUCAGUCCAUGGGACUCCGUGUCUGCAGCUGACUUAAAUGAAUCACUUGAAAACAGAGGCUGCAGCUCAGUAAAACAAUAAAGUGCUUUUGUCGAGAGGCGCUGCUCCUUACUGGCUGGUUCUCAUUUCUCCUGAGGCACCGAAAUUGACAUCAUUGAAGAUAAAACUUACCACAGUAGAACUGUAAAAACACGUUGCUACUAAAAAGCCUGUAUUUCUACUUCUCUAUUGGUUUCCACGUCUUUGUGUUACUAGGUUUUAACUUAUUGUUGGGUAAGGAAAUAGUUUAUGACGGGAGAGGGUGGCAAACCCACACAGAAAGGAACGGUCCAUAAAUAUUCCUGCAGGGUUCGCUGGUGAAGGUAUGGGGAGUUAACGGCAGAAAGGUCCCACCCUGUGCUGCGUCCAGGAGUGUGUCUGGAGGAAUGGAGACGUGGAUUUGCUUCUGGAAGGAUUCACGUCAGCCUGAGAGUGUUCCAAGUCUGCCUGCUUGCCGACUGCUAUAAUACACUGGCAUCUUCCAUGGCCUCUAUCCACCUGCACAACAGAGAAGAGGGCACCUGGGUCACAGCCCUGCCUGAGACUGGUCUCAGACCUACAGAGUCAGCUGCAAGUUGCAGACCAGGUCACAUUCAUCCCAGCUUCCCAAACAUGUUUUACAUGGUUAGCAGAAGGCCUUGAACACAGUGCGGCAUUUGCUGAUUCAGUGCGUGCCUGUCUGGAUCAACUGUAGUCAUCACCUGUCAUAGGACAACGGGAGGCAUUUGAGACCCAUGCUGGGGAUUCUGUCAUGCGAAUACUACAGUGUAUGUGCGCCAGCUGAGAUGGGGACGGCGGUCACGCAGCCUGUGCUGUCCGCUUACGCUGUGUGUGCCCUGCUCUUGGACCAGGAUCACCUUGACUCUGACCUUACAAGGGCCACAGUGUCGUAGGUGGUGCUGUUUUCCAGUUCCUUUCUCAUCACUGUGCAUGCACAGGUGACUGGUGUGCAGACUCUAGGAACUGGUGGACGGGAUGGCUGCAGCAAAACCCGUCACAGCCAUGGGGACAAGCAGGGUGCUCGUGAGAGGCGAGCAGACAUGGGGCUAGCUACUUGCAGUACCUCUGAGCUGCGCUGGGGUCCUCUGCCUUGAAGCUGUAGAAGAGGGUUUUCUUGUGGUAAAGGUGGAACACGGGUCCUGCUUCGCUGCUGCCCUCCUUCUCGGGGGUGAUGGUGAAGCCCAGCAGGGGCAUACUCUCCAUGGCUGCUUUGUCCUGUGGAGCGAGGACAGGAAUGCCGGGGUCACACACCAACCACCCCACACACCACACCCUCCAGUCUGAGACCCAAGGAAGGACACAAACUGCACAGUGGGACACAGCUUAGUAGGGACCAUGCAUUUCCACCCUGAUUUUAAUGAGGACAGAAGCUGCCAUCUCUGGUCUAAGAAACAGGCACAGAGAAGGGAGUGGCCCAAAGUUGCACGGCUAGUCAGGGGCAGAGCGACCCUGGCCCGGGGCCACCAGCUCACCCCACAUUCUUCCCAGAGGCCUGAAUAGUCAUCAGUGGGCUCUGUGGAUUCACUUGUGAUAAUGGAUUCUGUGCUGAUUCUCCCUGCCGUGCCUCGGUAUGAAGCCAGGGGGCAGGCUUGACGACAGGUACCCAGGGGCAGAGACGGAUCUUAAAACAGUGCUCCAUGGAAAAAGCUUUUCACAUACAAUGAUAUUUUUGUACUUGGGUACAUAAGAAACACGUUCACCAAUAAUACAGGCUUUGUAAAAACAGACAAACACAUCAGAGUGGAAGGGGGAGAGGGAGAAAGGGGAGUUUGUGUAAAAAAGUUUGAAUCAAUUUCAAAGACUGCUAAUCCAGAACCCAUUCAAGAUAAAGCCAAAUGAGUAGGAAUAAUAAAGUACAAAUGAGUAGGAAGGAACUAGCUGUCUGAUAAAGAACAUUAAUAAAACACCCACAGCUCACAUCACAAACGUUUGCUCGUAAACUACUCAGUACCACACUCUGCAGGGGUCCUAGCCAUCAUAUCAAGGCAAGAAGAAACAGAUCAGAAAGGAAGAAGUAAAAUUCUACACUUGUGGACAACAGGACUGGUUAUAAACAAGUGCUAGGGGAACGGGCACUGGGGCACAGCAUGUUAGGCUGCUGCUUCAGGUGCCCUGUACGCCAUGGUGGAGUGCCUGGUGUGAUUCCUGACUGCACCAUGCUUCUGGUCCAGCUCCUUGCUAAUGCCUCCUAGAGGCAGUGGAUGAUGGGCCACUUAUCUGGGUUCCUGUCUACGAGAGAGACCCAGAUAGAGGUCCAGGCUCCUGGCUUCAGCCAGGGCAAAAAGUUGCUCUCUGGGUCCAGCACUGCGGUGCAGUAGGUUCAUCCUCCACCUGUGGCACCAGCAUCCCAUAGGGACGCCAGUUCUAGUCCCAGCUGCUCCUCUUCCAGUCCAGCUCUCUGCUAUGGCCUGGGAAAACAGUAGAAGAUGGCCCAAGUGCCUGGGCCCCUGCACCUACAUGGGAGACUGGGAGGAAGCACCUGGCUCCUGCCUUCAGAUAGGCGCAGCUCUUACUGUUGCGGCCACUGGGUAGUGAACCAAUGGACAGAAGACCUUUCUCUCUGUCUCUCCCUCUCACUGUCUAACUCUACCUCUCAAAUAAAUAAAUAAAUAAAUCUUUUUAAAAAGUUGCUUUCCAAAGUUCAUGCACUGAUGGGGGAACCCACACCUUCCAAUUUCAAGUCCUUUGCAACUUCAUUUUGCAAUUAGAACUGAGGCUUUGGGAGAUCAAAUGGUGCUCUUGCCUCAGAAUUCCUCUGAGGGUCUGUGACAGAAAAAGGAAAAGCAGGGGCCAGCCCUAUAGGUUAAGUCACUGCUGGUCACAGUGGCAUCCUGUAUGGUAACACCAGUUUAAGUCCCACCUGCUUUGCUUCCCAUUCAGCUCCCUGCCAAUACACCUGGAAAGGCAAUAGAUGAUGGCCCUGCCAGCCAUGUGGGAGACCCAGAAAGAGUUCCAGGCUCCUGGCUUCAGCCUGGCCCAGCCCUGGCUAUUGUGGGUAACUGGGGAGUGAACCCUAAGAUGGAAAAUCACUGUCACCCUGCCUCUCAAAUAAAUUUUAAAAAAGAGCAAUCUGAGGAAUGUUAGCAAGGUCACAGGAUAAUCAGUGUUUUUGUUUUUUAAACAGAUAUGGAGGUACUUCAAAGAAUUAAUGGAAAGUGGAGUAAGAUAAUUUUAUUGGGGUGGGUGCUAUGGCACAGUGAGUUAAUCCACUGCUUAAGACACCCAUGUCCCAUAUUGGAGUGCCACUUUGAGUCCUGCCUACUCUGCUUCCAAUCUAGCUCCUUGAUAAUGUGCCUGGGAAACCGUGGACAGUGGCAAAAUAUGUGAGUUCUUGCCACCCACACUGGAGACGCAGAUGGAGCUCCUGAUUCCUCACCUCAGCCCACUCCAGGCUGUUGCAGCCUUUUGUGGAUUGGACCAGCAGAUGAAGAUCUCUGUCACUCUGCUUUUGAAAUAUUUUUAAAAAGAUCAUUCUGGAGCUGGUGCUGUGGCGUAGUGGGUAGAGCUACUGCUUGCAAUGCCAGCACCCCAUAUAGGCACUGGUUGGAGACCUGGCUGCUCCACUUUUGAUCCAGCUCUCUGCUAUGGCCUGGGAAAGCAGUAGAAGAUAGACAAAGUCCUUGGGCCCCUGAACCCGCAUGGGAAGACUCAGAGGAAGCUCCUGGCUCCUGGCUUCGGAUUGGCACAGCACCAUCCAUUGUGGCCGAUUGGGGAGUGAACCAGCAGAUGGAAGACCUCUCUUAUCUUCCGCCUCCUCGCUCUGUGUUAACUCUGACUUUCAAAUAAAUAAAUCUUUUUAAAAAAUCA